GACGAACGCUGGCGGCGUGCUUAACACAUGCAAGUCGAACGAAGUGGCGAACGGGUGAGUAACGCGUAAUCAACCUGCUCUUCAGAGGGGUACAACAGUUGGAAACGACUUCUAAUACCGCAUACUCAAGGAGGGGAUUUCGUCUGAUUAGCUAGUUGGAGGGGUAACGGCUCUCCCAGGCGAUGAUCAGUAGCCGGUCUGAGAGGGUGAACGGCCACAUUGGGACUGAGAGAAGGCCCAGACUCCUACGGGAGGCAGCAGUGGGGAAUCUGCCGCAGUGGACGAAAGUCUGACGGAGCAACUCCGCGUGAGUGAUGAGGGCCUUCGGGUUGUAAAGCUCUGUUAAUCGGGACGCGGUACCGGAAUAGGAAGCCACGGCUAACUACGUGCCAGCAGCCGCGGUAAUAC
rnacentral:rRNA from 1 species